UCAAAGGAAUUGACGGGGAGCACCACAACGGGUGGAGCUUGCGGUUUAAUUGGAUUUCCAACGCCGGAAAUCUUACCGGGACCGACAGCAAUAUGAAGGCCAGGCUGAAGACUUUGCCGGAUUAGCUGAGAGGUGGUGCAUGGCCGUCGUCAGUUCGUACUGUGAAGCAUCCUGUUAAGUCAGGCAACGAGCGAGACCCACGCCCACAGUUGCCAGCGUACUCUCUGGAGUGACGGGUACACUGUGGGGACCGCCGCUGCUAAAGCGGAGGAAGGAAUGGGCAACGGUAGGUCAGUAUGCCCCGAAUAUCCCGGGCUACACGCGAGCUACAAUGGUUGGUACAAUGGGUAUCUACCCCGAAAGGGGACGGGAAUCUCCUAAAACCAAUCUUAGUUCGGAUUGAGGGCUGCAACUCGCCCUCAUGGAGCUGGAAUCCGUAGUAAUCGCGUUUCAACAGAACGCGGUGAAUACGUCCCUGCUCCUU
rnacentral:rRNA from 1 species